AACAGUGACACCAUGUAUUGGCUCCGUGGCGAUAUAUGAUGUCGAUGUG
rnacentral:pre_miRNA from 1 species